rnacentral:misc_RNA from 1 species
UACGUAGGGGGCAAGCGUUGUCGGGAAUUAUUGGGCGUAAAGCGCGCGCAGGCGGUUCUUUAAGGCUGUUGUGAAAGCCCACGGCUCAACCGUGGAGGGUCAUUGGAAACUGGGGAACUUGAGGGCAGAAGAGGAGAGUGGAAUUCCACGUGUAGCGGUGAAAUGAGUAGAUAUGUGGAGGAACACCAGUGGCGAAGGCGACUCUCUGGUCUGUUUCUGACGCUGAGGUGCGAAAGCGUGGGUAGCAAACAGG